GAUGAACGCUGGCGGCGUGCCUAAUACAUGCAAGUCGAGCGAACAGAUGAGGAGCUUGCUCCUCUGACGUUAGCGGCGGACGGGUGAGUAACACGUGGAUAACCUACCUAUAAGACUGGGAUAACUUCGGGAAACCGGAGCUAAUACCGGAUAAUAUAUUGAACCGCAUGGUUCAAUAGUGAAAGACGGUUUUGCUGUCACUUAUAGAUGGAUCCGCGCCGCAUUAGCUAGUUGGUAAGGUAACGGCUUACCAAGGCAACGAUGCGUAGCCGACCUGAGAGGGUGAGCGGCCACACUGGAACUGAGACACGGUCCAGACUCCUACGGGAGGCAGCAGUAGGGAAUAUUCCGCAAUGGGCGAAAGCUUGACGGAGCAACGCCGCGUGAGUGAUGAAGGUCUUCGGAUCGUAAAACUCUGUUAUUAGGGAAGAACAAAUGUGUAAGUAACUAUGCACGUCUUGACGGUACCUAAUCAGAAAGCCACGGCUAACUACGUG
rnacentral:rRNA from 1 species